UGAUAUGAUCAUAGUUUCCUGUCUUACCAGUUUGUUUGUUCAAUAACUCCCACUGGGACCUAUCAUCUCUAAUGUCAGAAGCACCUCUAGUAUAUUAACCUAUAGCCUAUAUAGCUUGGCCAUGUACUUUUGUUGCUGCAAUUUGGCAAACCCUAACUCUUGAUGAUGAUAAUUAUCUUCCUUCUAAAGGAGGAGGGAUGGUUUACUGAGGAAAACCAUAGAGAAGCAACUAGAUAUUACUAUAAAUUAUGAUCAUUAACUUUGAAUGCCCCUUCAAAAUUGCUUAAAAAGCACACAGAUUUGCAAAGACUUUCUUCUGUCGGGGUAUGCUUUGUCUUUUCUUGGAUGAAGACAAUGAUGCCUGCUAACUGGUCUUCUGACAUUAUUCUCUACCCCUGGCCUGAGGUGUCUUUCCAUUCUGCACAGCAAGGAUAGAGAGGUCAUUUCCAUCACUCCUAGGUAAAAACUCAUUGUCUUCUUUCAUGUAGCGGGGAAAUUACCCUUUUAGAAAAUCCAUGUGUGUCAACAUGAAGGAAACGAAUAAAUUUUUAAAUAGAAAUUAUUCUUUAAGAGGAAUAGACACUUAGUAACAGC
rnacentral:lncRNA from 1 species